CACUUCCCAAAUAUGGGACUUCGGGCAAAGAAUUUCCUCUUGAACCUCAGUUUCCUUGUCUAUAAAGUGGGCAUAAUAGCAGACCCGUCGGGCUGGGGCAUCGUGCCAAGCAUCUCCCCCCGUGCCUGGCACCCAGAGGAUGCGCAGGACAUCGAAGGGACACGGAGUCCUCUGAUCCCUCAACAAAUAGAAUAGCCACCCUUCAAAACAACAGGAGUGGCCUGAUAUCGGAGUCCUUACAAAGCCUGGCCCUUCUUGAUUUCUGUCUCAUUAACUUCUGUUUUGUUUUGUUCUACAUCCAAGCCUGGUCCGGAACAGCAGUUCCCCAGUUUUAAGCACGAGGAUCCCCUGGAGGACCUUGCUGGGCCCCGCCCCCAAACGUCUGAUUCGGCAGGUGUGGGCUGGGGCCGAGAAGCUGCCGUUCUAGCAAGUUCCCAGGAGGUACUGACGCUGGGGAACCGAUGGUCUGUCGUAUCGAAAGGAGCCCCAUGGGUCUCGGUCUGGCCAGAGACUAGGGUCGCCUGGGGAGUUUUCAGAACUGCACGUGCCCAUCCCCCGACCCGGGAUUUCGGUUCCAUUGGUUCAGGGACGGAACCCAGAACCCGGGAACACCCAUGUAUGUGAAAUGCUCCCCGAGGUGAUUCUGAACAAGCUGCCAGCACGAUGGUAAGCAAGACAGAAGAGUCUCUGCUUCCAGGAAGAGGCGGACUUCAGAAGGAGAGAGACAACAAACAAAUACGAUGUUCUGAGGAGUGCCCCGCUGGAAAGGGGAAGAGGGACGGCGAGGGGUGCUGCCACCUUUGAACAGAAAGAGAACAAAGAGGAAUUGACCCUUGCAAAGAUCUGAGGGAGGAGAAUAGCUGGCGGCCAGAACUGCAUGUGCAAAGGCCCUGAGGUGGCAUUGCACCUGCAAUAUUCAGGGAGCAGUAAGGCAGCCAGAGCAUCGUGGGAGCAGGGAGAGUGGACAGGCCAGAUCUUCUAGGGCCCAGUGGACCAUGGAGGGAGUCUGUGAUGCCUGGUUCCUUUGGGGCUGAACGGGGCGGAACCUCUCAUCUUUCUAGAUCUAGGGUCUCUGUCCACAGAUGGGUCCGGUCAUUGUGCCUGCGCAGCAUUCUCAGGGCCUCCAGGAUGGAAGUAUUCAUGCUGCCGACUUCCCCAUCUGCCUCCUACCCGCCUCUCCUCCCUGAUGGAGCCGCCAAGCGCAGGAAGGAGCCACAGCAAACACGAGAUGGCUGGAGCCUGAAGGGCAAAUUCGGUGCCCUGUUCAUUCAUUCCUCAGGAAAGCUGUUCCCUGGCCCCCUCUCUGGUUGGAGCACGGGCUGGUACAGGGACUCCAGCACCGCCUUGGAAUUUUUUAUGUGUGUUUAUUUCCGGGGGGGGGGGGGCAGA